GAAAAUACUACCAAACAGCCAGUUGAUGAUGCUAAUACACCAGCAAAUACCAUUGAUGAUUCUACAAAUGACCCUAUGGAUGCAAUUGACCCUAGUGUCUUAAAGGAACACUUUCAUCAGGUUGAUAUCAUGAGUGGGACCAUGCACAAUGAGGAACAUAUAGCACCAGCAAAAUUUCUGUUACAGGUGGAUGUCAUAAGUGGAAUUGGUGACAAUAUGGAACCCAUAGCCCUUGCACAGGCUCGAGAAAAACCUAUGUCACAGGUGA